UACGGAGGGUGCAGGCGUUAUCCGGAUUCACUGGGUUUAAAGGGUGCGUAGGCGGGCAGGUAAGUCAGUGGUGAAAUCUCCGAGCUUAACUCGGAAACUGCCGUUGAUACUAUUUGUCUUGAAUACUGUGGAGGUAAGCGGAAUAUGUCAUGUAGCGGUGAAAUGCUUAGAUAUGACAUAGAACACCAAUUGCGAAGGCAGCUUACUACGCAGUUAUUGACGCUGAGGCACGAAAGCGUGGGGAUCAAACAGG
rnacentral:rRNA from 1 species